GGAGAGACCUUUUUUCCUCAUUACUUUCUUCCAUUCAAUUCGCCUUAAAUUCUUACUUACACUGUACGGUACAUUAAUUAAUUAUCAUUUUCCUAUUUAAGAUCCAUCUUUACAGGGGCGAAAAACACAACACAAAUCGUCAGUAACCAAAGAGAGAGUUUUGGAUGAUUUCCUUGGAAAGAGAAGUCGAGAUGGCGACAACAUUAGUCUCCAUUGCAUCUUGCCUAAUGUCUCUUAGAUAUGUGCAAGUUUCUAUACCCUUUUUCCUUAGCAAAUUACUAAUUUAUAACUUAUGUCUUUAUUGAUCUAUUUUUAUUUCAUCAAUGCAUCUAUUAAAAAAAAAUGCGAAAACCAAUAUUUAUCGCAUGGUCCUUUUUCUUUUAUAAUAUAUGUUGAUUUAUUUGGCUCUAAUAUCUUAUAAAUUUUCUUGCUUAAUCUAUUUUCGACAAGUGGCUACAACAAGACAAUGUCUGUGAUUGUGAGUUAUAUGCAUGGCUUUUUACGGGUUAUUUCCUAGAUUAUGUUGGUAGCUCUUAUUAGCCACUUUGGUAAAUAUUAGCUAUAAUUGUUGAUUUUUCAUUAUUUUUUUAAAGUGAAAAGAAAUAUAAUACUAUUAAAGGAAAAAUCGAUAAACGACUGAAAGAUGUACCUUCCAAGAAAUUGAGGUGAACAGUUAAAGGUACUGCAAAAUGUGUGACCUUCUAAAUUUGCUUCUAUAACUAUGCGUUGAUUCUGUAGAAGAUAAGUUUUUUCCUUUAACAGACUUUGUACUAAAUAAGUGUUGUAUGUCUGUAGCGUGAAUGGAUGCAAUUUAUUUAGUUUUGUGAACAAGUUAUAUUAAAAUUAUACUAUGGGGAUUAGAAGAUGAAAUAAAGCCAAUAGUGAUUUUCAUAUAUUUUUUUCUAGAAAGUCCUUGUAUGUACAUAUUUAUACAACCGGGGUGCUAUACUGGAC
rnacentral:lncRNA from 1 species